CCGUCCCCCAUGCUGCGAUAAAUCACCGCGUCGCUGGCCAGGAAAUCUGCCACCGUCGCUGAGAAAAAGGAAACCAAGAAAUGCGUUAUGACGCAAGUCUGAUUUAAUCACCGCAUGGCACUGGCUCAAUAAGUGCAGCAAACCCAAGGCCAGAAGUGCAAACAUGAACCAGGCGUAAGGUAUCAGUUACUGUACUCCGAUGUCACUCCUGGCCCCACCUGGACCUGAUCUGCGUCUGAGGGAAGCUGACUGCUACAGAUGGCUGAACCGCCAAGACCAGGAGAGUGACGCCCA